rnacentral:misc_RNA from 1 species
AGACUUGUGUAGUAGACUGCUCAGGUUUUUUUUUUAAUCAAAUUCCUUUAUUUAGGAAAUAACAGACAAGUGCCACAAACAAAACCUGAGCAGUCUACUACACAAGUCUGCUUGAAUUCCUUCAUAGAUGAGCUACUUAACAUCUGUUGAGAAGAUGAUACAUGAGAUCAAGGUUAGUUUAUUGACCAAUUCACAUCUUUAUGCAUCUCUGCUCUAAACUGGAUCAUAUGUAACUCCUACCGCUAGCAUGGCACUCGGACAGCCAUAAG